UACAACCUGGACCAGCUUGUUUCAAACCCCAUUGCAAACCAUGAAAAUGGCAAAUCUCACCUAGACAGUUCUGAGGGGAAAUGACAUACCCCAUCUCCUCCUAUCCAAUCAAAAUAUAUAUUUGAAUCACCUGUUAACAGUCAAUAUGUUUGAAAAAACAUAAAAAUUGUGCUUACUCUUCAAUCAAACUCAACUAAGAUAAAUUCCCAACAGAAAAUAACAAAUAAAGAUCUCCUUAUUUCAGGAUUUCAGGACAAAAUUUAUUACUUGGCAAAUAAUUCCCUUGCUUUCUUCGCUCAUUAAUAUGGUAACAAAUGAUUGAAAGUAUAAAAAAGAAACGAAAAAAAAAUUAUCCAAAAACCUCAAACUCAACUACUCAUUUCGUAUAAUUCAAGCCAUUGACCAUGUCACCUUCAUAGCAUUCAAAAGAUUUUCAAUAACCCCACCAAAUAUAAAAAGCCCCAGAAUUAAAAAGCUUACCCGGAUACUACGUCAAGGCUCAAAUUUGAAGACCAAAAAGAAAACGUAAUCGUUGGCGCUUUGUUUCUGGACAUUGAAAACGCAGCAAAGCUUUCCAUUUUUUCUUCUUUUAGUAAGUACGUUCAGGAAGGUUUAAGGAUUGCCGUUAAUUACUAGGGUUCAAUUUGUG
rnacentral:lncRNA from 1 species